GACGAACACUGGCGGCGUGCUUAACACAUGCAAGUCGAGCGGUAAGGCCCUUUCGGGGGUACACGAGCGGCGAACGGGUGAGUAACACGUGGGUGACCUGCCCUCAGCUCUGGGAUAAGCCUGGGAAACUGGGUCUAAUACUGGAUAUGACUCCACGGUGCAUGUCGUGGGGUGGAAAGCCUUGUGCGGCUGAGGAUGGGCCCGCGGCCCAUCAGCUUGUUGGUGGGGNGAUGGCCUACCAAGGCGACGACGGGUAGCCGGCCUGAGAGGGCGACCGGCCACACUGGGACUGAGACACGGCCCAGACUCCUACGGGAGGCAGCAGUGGGGAAUAUUGGACAAUGGGCGAAAGCCUGAUCCAGCAAUGCCGCGUGUGUGAAGAAGGCCUGCGGGUUGUAAAGCACUUUCA
rnacentral:rRNA from 1 species